UCACCUGUACCUUCAAUCCCUUUCUCCCCGGACGAUGACCAUGGCCAGCACCACCUCUCCUCUCCUCGUCCUGCUCUCUGCCAUGGCGGUGGUGGCGCUCGUCGCAGCACCAGUCUCGUCGGCGGACCUGCCAUCCACCUUCGCGGACAUCGCGUCCAAGAUCCCCAACCCGUGGUCGGCCUUCAGGAACCUCACCGGCUGCCACUUCGGCGAGGAGCAGCAGGGCGUCGCCAAGCUCAAGGACUACCUCGCCCACUUCGGCUACCUCCCGGAGUCUUCCGGGUUCACCGACAUCUUCGACGCCGACCUGGAGGAGGCCAUCAAGGUGUACCAGCGCAACUUCGGCCUCAACAUCACCGGCGUGAUGGACGCGACCACGGUGGCCCAGAUGAUGGCGCCGCGGUGCGGCGUCGCCGACGUCAUCAACGGCACCUCCACCAUGGGCGCCUCGUCCCACGCCCACGGCCGGAACCUCUACUCCUACUUCCCGGGUUCCCCGUCGUGGCCGCGCUCCAAGAAGAGACUCACGUACGCCAUUACCGACACCGCCGCGACGACCAUCGACCGGGCGACGCUGAGCCGGGUGUUCGCGCGGGCCUUCGCGCGGUGGUCGGCGGCGACGACGCUCAACUUCACGGAGACCGCGUCGGCGCGGGACGCCGACAUCACCAUCGGGUUCCACGCGGGGGACCACGGCGACGGCGAGGCGUUCGACGGGCCGCUCGGCACGCUGGCGCACGCCUUCGCGCCGACGGACGGGCGGUUCCACCUGGACGCCGCCGAGGCGUGGGUGGCCGCCGGCGACGUGUCGCGGGCGUCCUCGGACGUGGCCUAUGACCUCGAGUCCGUGGCCGUGCACGAGAUCGGGCACCUCCUCGGGCUCGGCCACUCGUCGGAGCCCGGCGCCAUCAUGUACCCGAGCAUCACCCCGCGCACCAGGAAGGUGGACCUGGCAUCGGACGACGUCGUGGGAAUCCAGAGCCUGUACGGGAAUAAAUAGAGCAUUCUAAGUUCUCUUGCCACCAACACCAAGCAAUAUAUUUUACAGGAAAUUAAGCUGCAACUGCAAGCGAACAAUCAUCUUAUCAUGGCUGUAAUUUGUUAGUACCUUUCCAUUAAGAGUAAGUUUUGCACAAGUAGGGUUUUCAGGAUCAAUCUUCCCACAUGUCCCGAGAGGGAAUUCGCUCAGGGUGAAGGAGGUCCUUUCGUCCGCCAGUGCAUCUCGUGCAGUAGGAUCCAAAGUUGUCAGGUAGAAGUAUGGGAUUCCAUGGCCCUCACCAGGUAACCCAUCACUAUACGAAACUACAUUGGUGUACAUUCAAGAAGGCAAGAAUAAAGUUAACCAACCAGAAGAGAGUAUAUAUGUUGCCAGUUUGCAGUACUGAGACAAGAAGGAAUACCCAAAUGGAGCCCCGUUCAAAUCACUUGAUAUUGUGCUGCAAGAUGUGAUCAGGUAUUAGUGAAUAACCAACCAAAUAGAUUAUUGAUCUACAAUUAUCUCUGAGCAACAAACAGAAUAGAGCAAAUCUAUUAAAUUACAGUUCUACCACGCAAGGUAAAGAUUUGACCAAUACUAUGAUGCAGUGAUGCUAGUUAUGUGAUGUUCUACAAAUAAAUCAACUGUGGGUUCUCUUCAGUCAAUUUGCAUAUUGGGGUAGUGAUUUACUCAAAAUCUUCAUCUUUUAGGGAAAAUCGGGUCACUUGACGGUCAAAUCAGUCUUUAAACUUUCGAAAUCUGAAGUUCUGAACAGGACUGCGAACUCCAAAGCAAGCAAUAACAUGGUUCCGUGCAAUUCGUACACAUUCUCAGCACUUGCCGGCACUAGCUAGGAAUUCCGAAUUCGCAUCAACAAAUUUCCCAGCUACGCAGCGGUAGUUCCCAGCUUCCCAUUCGAUCAAACGAACACAUGCUGCUACCUCUAAGAAGAACACCUGUUGCUAAAGGAACUAGCUGCGGCACCAAAUCGCAGCGGUAAAAUAAGAGAAGACGGGUUUGGGCGGAACUGGAUGGGACCUGAGGACACCCCACGUGUUCUGUGCGGCGAGCCACCUCGCGGUGGCGGUAGCCUCGGAGGGGGCAGGCUUGUCGUCGACGAUCGGGCGGGCGGCUGAGGCCGGCGCCGGCGGCCGGAGGACGAGGAGGAAGGCGGCGGCGAGGGCGAGGCGGGCAGGGGAGAGCAUCGCGAUUUCUUGCUUUGGCUGUCAGCUAUAGUUGGCCAUCCGGGCCACCCGGCAGCACGGACACUAUCUGGCACGGCACUAUAUGGCACGGCACUAUCUGGCACGAGUACUUAACCGUGCCGUGCCGUGUAGUGCCGCCGUGCCUAACUGUCGGCACAGGCACGGCACUAACAGGCAGUUAGCGUGCCGUGCCAGGCCACAGGGCACGGCGGCACUGCAGUGCCCGUGCCGGCCCUGGCACUAAGUGUGCCUACCACAAGUCCACAAUACCACUCUUUUUACACAGAAUUACAAGCACAAUACAAAACUAUUAAGAUUCACAAGUAGUGGAGAACUUAUCUUGUUGUAUUCACAAAUUUGUAACAAAGUCACAAGUCACAACCCAGUCACACAGUCAUAGAGAUAACAAAAUAACAUUUUAUUGGGAGCUUUAGUGCAAUGGCUGCCUCAUUAAAAACCUAUCUAGGUAAAACUCACCCUUGUGAGAAACCCUAGACAGGAAAAAAGAGUACAGCCCAGCUCCAAUUAUAAAGUUCAUCACAGUCCAUGAGUCCAGUACUUAAUAUUACAGUCGCAUUACAUAAAUGAUAACUAAUCAAGAUAAAGUUCUUCAAAAGCUUCUUCAAGUUCCUUGUCCUCCACCAUGUGUUGCAGUCUUGCUUCUGCAGCCUCCCAGUCUUUGAUGCAGGUGAGCAUCUCCACCAUGUCAGGCUUUAGCUUCCUCCGCCGCUCCUCGAUGAUCCUGCCAGUCAUAUUAAAAGUGGAUUCUAAAGAUAUGGUUGAAACAGGAACUGUUAAUAUAUCCUUAGCCAUGGUUGACAACACUGGAUAUGUGAGUUUGUGUUGAUGCCACCAGUUCAAGAUGUUAAAAUCAUCAUCUAAAUGAUUCACUGUGUCACAGUCCAAGUAAGAAACAAGUUCAGAAACAUUACCACCUGAAGAACUGGCAGCAUGCAAAAAGGCAGUUGCAGAUGUAUCUCUAGCCAUGCUUAGAGUAGCAACUAGAGAAUGCAUGCCACCAGCAGAACCAACAUCAUCAUCAUCAUAAAUUUCAUCCCAAGCAGACCUUUUCUUACCAGAUAGGUUAGGAGGUACAGUCCUCCUCAACCUAACACCUCCAUAUUUCUCCUCAUACUUGUUGUAGACAUCAGUAAGUCGAGCUCUAGUGCUAACUUGGUAAGCACUGUAAUCUGUACUGGUAAGGGUACCCAACCUCCUGAGCACUCUAUUGAAACCUUUCAUUUUAGCUCUAGGGUCCAGGAUGAAUGCAAAAGAAUAAAGCAAAGGUAUGUCCCUCCAGUAUUUGUUAUACUUGUCUAUCAUAGGUUGAACCACAUGUCUGAUGUGAGUAUCAUUAGCAUAAUUCUUUAAGUGCAUAGCAAUCUUAACAAGAUAAUGAAUCAUAAGUGGAGAUGUAGGAUAGUACACACCAGACAAUGUAACUGUAGCAUCAUAAAAAAGUUCAAGAAAUCUUAGCACUUUUUCUGCCAUAGCCCAAUUAUCAUCAGAUAAAAGCAACUGCUCACCUUCAACCCUAGGAUAUUGAGCAACUAUGAAAGUUGUGAAUGGGACCUUAUGAGGAAACAAAUGCUUAAGCAUUAGAUAUGUAGAAUUCCACCUAACUUCCAUGUCUAGCUGAAACUUUCUAGACCUAACACCAGUGGCAAUGCAAUAACUUUUAUAUGCAGCAAUUCUCUGAUUAGAUGAGUUUAAGAAAGAUAUUGCAAUUCUAAACUUCUCAAUCAAUAGCUUAAGAGCAGUUAGAGCCUCCUUAACAAUCAGAUUGAUCAACGGCGAGGGCGAGGCGGGCAGGGGAGAGCAUCGCGAUUUCUUGCUUUGGCUGUCAGCUAAUCGGGCUGGGGUGGGAGUCGUCGAGUUCGAUGUCUGAUGUCUCGGCUUCUUCAGCUUGUAGCGAAUCUCUUUCCCCCGUGGUGGAUGCGACGAGACUCGCCUGCAGUUGGUGCCCUGUGUUGAAUCACUGCCGUGUGGGUCUGGGUCCACAUGACAGUGAACCAACUGCAGAGGAUCCCUGCCCGGUGGAUGUGGAUCGGAUCGGACAAGCCGAACACAGCUGAUGAGCUGAAGCUGAGUGAUGGACUGGACGUCACGAGAUGCAUUUUUAUUUAUUAUAGGGGAAAAUCGUAAAAUUAAUUAACAUUACUUUGAAAUUCUCCCUCCAAAGUUGUUUUGUUGCAAAUGCACACCUCUUACUUCACUCUGAGGCAAAAACUGCGCACUGCGUACUUGUCAAUUUCACUUUUUUCCCCUGAUGUCGCAAAUGAUUCGCGGAGGCAACUCAAAAUCAAAAUAAUAUAAUUGGCUCUUUUUUUGCAGUAUUUUCUUAACACAUAUUUGCAUAAUCCCAUUUAAUCCAGGGUAAAAGCUUUGGGGUAUGUUUUGGCUUGCAACUUUGCUACACUUGUUUAACUUGUGCCCAAGAUAAAUGACGCAAAGGUAGCCAAAGAAAAUCAUGCCAUAAUUUCAUGCCUAAGGAUCUAUUUGGGGGGGAAGUUACUAGUUGUUUAACAUUGUGGCAAAGUGAAAUGACGCACAACUUAGAGCUUUUGAACUUUUUUGAAAAGCUGUUGUUGGUUUUUUUUCUAAAAAUCCAAUACAACUUUUAAAAAAUGUGUUUAGCUUUUUGGGGUCAAAAAGCUAAAAAAAAAACUAAAAAACUGAGCUUUUCAACUUCCCAUAUAAACUUAGCUUUUCCGAACUUCUGGUUUUUCAAAAACUGCACGAGAAGUUUGCUAUUUGUUUGAGCUUCUGGCAGAGAGUCUCAGUCAUAUCUAAGAGAAUCGUGCCAUAGCAUCAUUACCAAGGGUUUAUUUGGCAAAAAGGAUUAGAGCCUCUUUCAAACUAAAGGAUUCUCAAACGUAGAGAUAGAAAAAAGAAUAGGAUUUUGAGUUAGUUGGUAGUUGCAAUUCUACGGGCCAAUAGAAUACAAGCACUUUCCAAUCGAGGGUCCGGAGAUAUCACAUAAAAAAUAGGAAUGUAAGAAAAGAUAUAAACUCAAAGAGGUUGGACCCCACAUUAGAACUGUGGCGGAACCGUCCAAUUUAAACUGGUUUAAAUGCGUCUAAUUGCUGCCGACGCAACAAUUAUUCGAAACGUAUUUAAAACAGUGUAAAUCCGGUCGUCCGUCGAGUGUCCCUAGGACUCCUCGAAAGAUCCACGUUGUAUUUCAUAGCCAUACAUCAGGAUAGUAUCCGCGAUGGGAUAACAUCAACAAAUAUUACAUUUUACAUACAUAUAAAAGGUACGAGUUAUUACAGAGCAUAGAUUGAAGCAAACUUAACAGUGCAGUGUUAGACAGAGUUCUAAGAUUUAAAACAUAAACAGUUCAGGAGGAGAUGAGCAUUUAAAAACUUCUUCUUAAAGGUAUUGUGAGACUCAUAACAAUACCCUAGGGCUUCGGGGCUUCCUCUUCUGUAGACUCCUGCGGAGCUUCUGAAAGAUAGCCACAAGGGAUAACCCUGAGUACGGGGUACUCAGCAAGUCUUACCCGACUAACCAAUAUAAUAACUUUCUUUGGAUGUAUAUGAUAGCUUUUGGUGUACUUGGCUGAUACAACUUUUGCCGAAAAGCUUACUACAAGUGAUGCCUUAGUUUUAUCUUUUAUUUGGGUUAAGUUAUUACCUAACCAUUCUAGAUGAUGAGAAAAGAGUAAAUACAACAAUAAGGUAUUUAAGCCAUACAUCACUCAUUUAUCAGAAAGGUAUAUCAUUCAUGAAUUUACACUACGAUGCUCAACAGUGAUCAAGUGCAUUCAUAACCGAGAAUUGCGGCGAUCCGGAUCAAUUUACAUCCUGCAGGAGAGUACUCUGAUCACCAGUUUUAUACGACUGUCCAGGUCGUACAUAAUGACCUUUUGAUUAGCAAAAUCUAUGAUUGGGAAUAAGACUACCCGGACCCAGGGACGCACCCCCACAUGGGACCCCACGUCUGGCCCGAUCACCAUGUGAGUUUCAGGCUAUGCCCCUGCCAAUCUCCAGCACGUCAAGCGCGGGUACGAAGUAUUCCCGAUCAGAGAGUUUACUAACCUACUGGGCUUUACUGGUCCCAUACCCAGUAAGUGAUCAGAUGCUUAUCACUUGAUCAAAGGUUAAGACAACGAAUCGGGCCUUAACCAAAUUAAUCUAGCAGACAGAACUACAUCUCUAGCUUCUGUCUGCUUCUCAAUUUCAAGUCAUCUUCCCAUAAAUAACAUGUAUGACUCAAAAGUUUCUCCUUAAGGUUGGUAAACCAAGUAUUUAAGCAACUUAAGCAAUUCUAGACUUGGGUAUCUUCUAAGGUUUGAACAAGUGGCAAAGAUGUCCUUAAAACAAGGCAUGAUCAUACACAAGAAUAGGUUUCAAGCAACUCCUAGACUUAGUGCAUACAUAUAGCAAAUAACCGAUAAUUGGACACAUGAAAUAAUAACUCUAAAAUAGAUAGGUAUAAAUGCACCGGGGCUUGCCUUGUUCGCUUAAAAAGUUAGUGUUGUAUGACGGGUUGACUUCGCAGGGGACUAAUUCAAAGACUUCUUCGAACUCCGAAGAUCCUUCUGAAAAUUCCAAAUAAUCUCCUUCUGGUACUUCAGGAUCUAUAGCACAAUACAUGCAGGGGUUAGGAAUGCAAAAUUUUGAAUAAAAGACUAUACAACUUUCCUUCAUGAUAAAGUUGCAAGCCAGCAAGGACUAUACAAUCUAUCAUGAUAAAGUUGCAAGUCAACACACAAAAACCCCAAAAGAUUAACCCACAAUUUUUAUUUUCUUACCUAAUCCUUACUGAAGGCCUUUCUUUUAUUUUUAGCAAAGGUUAUAAUUAUUUUCUAACUUGAAAACCUAAUUUCCUAUGGGUUAAGAAUAAUUUGUGAUUAAGAAAAUGUUAUUCCAUAUUUUAUACAUUUUAUAAAUAUUAAGUAUUUAUUUAAUUACCUUAAAAGAAAGGCAUUAAAUAAAUACCCAAAUUUUUAUUAUUUUUCUAGGGUGUAAAAAUUUUAAUGCAUAAAGGAAAAUAAAACAAGCCUAACAAAAUUGGUUUCACUAAUUUUGGACACUCCUAGAAAUUUCUGUGAUUUAAAUGGGGGAAUUCGGAUUUAAACUAAUUAUUCUAUAAAGGAAAUCUAAUUUUCCCGAAAAAACACCCCCGGAAAACUUUUCUCACGCAGCUCGACUCUACCCUCUCUCACGCGUGCUGGGCCCGUGGCGCGGACCCCCCUUUUCUCCUGUUCCACUUACCCGCCGGCCUUUUUCUCCUCCUGACGGCCCCUUGGGCCGUUUUCUUUUUCUUUUUCCUUUCACCGGUCCGUUACUGGCCCAACGGCCCACUUCUUCUUUUCCUUUCCUCCCGUGAAAACUGGCCUACGAAAACCUUGGGCCUCCGGCCUCUUUCUUCAGCGGUCCACCGCACCAACACCUGGGCCGUCGACAUUGCGGCCCAGCUGACGCCGUGCUCGACCGGCCCCUCUCUUCUCCUUCUCCCCUCUGACUCGCGGGCCCGACGCUCCAGCGUCUUCUUCUUCCUCCCGCCAAAACGCGCGCGCGACAGGGGGCGGCGCGACUCGCCGGCCGGCGCCCUACCGGCGGCGGAGCUAGGUCAGGACAGCACUUCUGUGCCUUCACGCACCCGCGCGCGGCAACAGCUCCUCGGGAGAUGGCCGGAGCCACUCCCUCCACGGCGGCGGGCGGCGGCACCUUCGGCCGGUCACGGCUACGCACGACGUCGGCACAAACUACUCGAACAACUGCUACUACACCAUCCUAGUAUCCUAAGGACCUGCCUAAGACUACCCAAGAAGGAAGGGAACCAGCGCAAGGGGUGCUCACCGUGAGCGGAAGGCGCGGCGAUGGCGGACAGAAACGGCGGCGGUUUAAGGUGUGCCGGCGAAGAAGCUGGGCAACAAGCUGCUGGGGUUGCUGGUGGGAUGUGGGCGGAGGUGUGGACGGAGGGAAUCGACGGGAGCUGUGGUGUGGCGGUGGAAUUUUACCCGGCGGCGGUGUUUGACAGAGAAGGCGGCGGCGGUAAGAAAAAGCGGCGGUAAAACAGCUGCGCGGGAGCGGUAAAUAUAUGAAUGGCUUACCGCGCGCAUGGGCGACACCGUGGCCUACUCGUAGGCUUGCGUGGUGAGGAGGUGGCGUAACCGUUGCGCUGGCGAGCGACCGACGACGGCGGCGGCGACACGUCGAGCUCGCUCUGCUGCUCUUCCCCUUUCUGAUUUCGGGUGCCCGAAAAUUCAGAGUUUCCUCACGGUUGAUUUCCAAUCCGACGGUGUAUAAGUGUCUUAACCGAAGUUGUAGAUAAACUUGAACUCUUCAAAUUUUAUUUUGGCUCUACCCCGAGAUAAACAUCCGAGCACAGUGUAAUUUGAAUUUCUUUCUCUACUUCAACUGAAUUUCACUGAACUCAAAGUUCAGUUCGUCAGUAAUACCACAGUGUCAUUUGCCUUACUUUGGGAACAAAUUUGGUGAUCCAAACCCUCCUUUUCCAGUCCAACUUCUUCCCAUUCGUGUUCUACCAUAUCCAAGGUUUCCAUUUUGCCCAAAAACACAUACCUCUUUUGAUCCACAUUCCUCUGAAAUCCAUUUCAAAGUCAGCCACCCACGGCUGUUUCAGACUUAGUCAUUUCGGCAAGACAAUCACCUGUGACAAUGUGCUGACUUUGAGCUUGGAUUUGAAUUCGUUCCCCUCACUAUUCCUGAUCAACAACAACCAAUUCUAGGAGUCCAAAGUUCAUACUUCAAUAUGGUAUAGUUGUCCUGAUCCACUUACUUGAAAAAUUCAUCAGAAUUCAAUUUUCAAAAUGGACUCUGAGGCUGUUUUUCUGAAUUUCUAUUUUCGGACGAUGAACAGUGAGUUCAGUUUUCCAUUUUCUUUCUUUAAUUCCUUUGAGAUAUUUAGGACCAUUUCUGUUUCAAAUUCUUGAUCCUCAAGUUCUAAUUACUCUUACACUUCUAUUCCAUAUUUUUGCCGAAUUUUUCUGAAUUUCAAAUUCAAAAUUCGAAUUUCGGCCAAAUUUGACCUGAAUUUGAUUUUCGGCCAAUUUCUUUUUCUUUUCUUCUCGAAUUGCUUCCAAUUCUUCAAAAUCACUUUGAUGACUAAAAUGGCAGGUGUUACAGCCUCUCCCCCUUAACAGAAUCUUGUCCCGAGAUUCUCGGGGUUAAAUCCUUGGUUUUGAGAAUGGAAAGAAAACUGCGUCAGGUCAACUAUUCUUCCUUUUUCUGUACAAGGAUAGUGGGGUGGCUUGUGUUCAUCUAUUCCGGUGGAUGUGGAUCGGAUCGGACGAGCCGGACACAGCUGAUGAGCUGAAGCUGAGUGAUGGACUUGGACGCCACGAGAUGCAUUUUUAUUUAUUAUAGGGGAAAAUCGUAAAAUCAAUUAACAUUACUUUGAAAUUCUCCCUCCAAAGUUGUUUUGUUGCAAAUGCACACCUCUUACUUCACUCUGAGGCAAAAACUGCACACUGCGUACUUGUCAAUUUCACUUUUUUCCCCUGAUGUCGCAAAUGAUUCGCGGAGGCAACUCAAAAUCAAAAUAAUAUAAUUGGCUCUUUUUUUGCAGUAUUUUCUUAACACAUAUUUGCAUAAUCCCAUUUAAUCCAGGGUAAAAGCUUUGGGGUAUGUUUUGGCUUGCAACUUUGCUACACUUGUUUAACUUGUGGCCAAGAUAAAUGACGCAAAGGUAGCCAAAGAAAAUCAUGCCAUAAUUUCAUGCCUAAGGAUCUAUUUGGGGGGGAAGUUACUAGUUGUUUAACAUUGUGGCAAAGUGAAAUGACGUACAACUUAGAGCUUUUGAACUUUUUUGAAAAGCUGUUGUUGGUUUUUUUUCUAAAAAUCCAAUACAACUUUUAAAAAAUGUGUUUAGCUUUUUGGGGUCAAAAAGCUAAAAAAAAAACUAAAAAACUGAGCUUUUCAACUUCCCAUAUAAACUUAGCUUUUCCGAACUUCUGGUUUUUCAAAAACUGCACGAGAAGUUUGCUAUUUGUUUGAGCUUCUGGCAGAGAGUCUCAGUCAUAUCUAAGAGAAUCGUGCCAUAGCAUCAUUACCAAGGGUUUAUUUGGCAAAAAGGAUUAGAGCCUCUUUCAAACUAAAGGAUUCUCAAACGUAGAGAUAGAAAAAAGAAUAGGAUUUUGAGUUAGUUGGUAGUUGCAAUUCUACGGGCCAAUAGAAUACAAGCACUUUCCAAUCGAGGGUCCGGAGAUAUCACAUAAAAAAUAGGAAUGUAAGAAAAGAUAUAAACUCAAAGAGGUUGGACCCCACAUUAGAACAACUUUGAAUUCAGAUGAAUUCGCCUAGGAAUAUAUAAAUUUUUGGAUGGCCAACACUCUUUUGUUACAAAGCUACUUCAUGUAGGAUUUAAACCCUACAAAAUUCCUACGCCAAUAUUUAUAUGCGGAGGAACUUAAUUAAGACAAAGACUCAUUUCAAGGCAAGCAACUUAACAAAAUGGGGCUAUUUGCAAAGUUUAGUGAUAUCCUUGCUCAGUUCCAAAUUUUAAGUCGUCUUGGCUUUUCUAAAUACAUAAUUUUUAUCAUGUAUCUAGAUAUAGCGUUAUCUAAGUGCAUAUCAAAAGCUAUAUAUUUAGAAAAUCAAAACAUUUAUAAUUUGGAAUGGAGAAAGUAUUAAACUUCCUUAAAAUUGUUUCUUGUGUGAUCUCAAUCUAUUCGGGCUAGCCAACCCCACCAAGUACAUACAUGAGCUUGUUGCACACUAACAUGUACGAGAAAAGCAAUACUUCCUCCAUUUAUUUUUAGUAGGCUUGUUAGGGAUUUAAAAAGUCUUUAAAGAUAUAUUUUGACCACUAAUUUAUAUUAUAAAUAUAUUAUCAAUUGCUACAAAAUUAAAGUGGUACAAUCUCCAUUUUAGAUAAUUGGUAACUUUGACUUUCAUUAUUCAAUAUUUGAUUAAAACUAUAUGUUCAAAUAUUUGGUUAAGUUAAACAAGAAAGUAUCACUAGAUAGGUUACAAAAGGUACUUCAAAGUUAAAACAUUCACUGAAAAGACGAACAUUCAAACAAUGAAUAGUGAAGUCGAAGUUGUUAAUUAUUUUGAAGCAUAGGAUUGCACUAAAAAGAUAUUUGAAAUACAAAUUGUAUUCAUAUAACUUUUUACAUUAAGUAUACAUAUAAUUUGAUUAAUUUAUUGGUAAAAAUAAUGAAGUUAAACUUUAAAUUCCUAAUGCGUCUACGAACAAAUAGGUAACUAGAUUUCCAAAAAAAAAGAAAAUUGAGCUCUUUCGGUCAUUCAACAUGCUGAGCGAGUGAGAACCAAGCACAACUUAAUUGGUUAGUAAAGUUUGUUAUACCUUCUACUCAUCAAGGAUGAAGCUCAAAUUUUAUGUAUUUGUUACGCCCGGUUUUUUUAUGUAUUGUUUGUCUGAUUAAUUAAUGUAGCAUGCGACGUGCUUUUUGAUGGAGAAGUGUAUGCAAUUGAUAUUUAUAGGACAGGCGUUUAUAUGCGUGGCCGCGUUUUGUUUUCUAAAAAAAUACUAAAUCUGUCAUCUCGAAGAAUAUACUUGUGUACACAUAGCUACGGAGUACACCUCUACCGCUAGUCUAUCUACGGCACUCAUAAACAAGAAACGUUCACCCUCCAAAUCUUCACGUCAGAGUCCAGCGAUCCGCUGCAAACAUGAGCUGCAGAGCAGGAGCAGCACCCGUCGCACGAGCCAUCGUGAUCACCUCCCGAUUUCUUCACCAACGUCAAGCUCUUCACUGCUCCAGCAUGGCCGUCGAGCACGGCCAGACAGGUGUAGCCCGCUCCUGCCGCUCCCCUCCUCCACACUCUCACCGUCCUGUCCGCCGAACCGCUGCACACCACGUCCCCGGCGGCGGCCACGCACAGCACGGCCUUCAUGUGACCCCUGAGCGUCGCAGUGGCAGACAUGGCACCACCGCCUGCACACUCCCAGACCACGACGGAACGGUCGCACGCGCCGGAGUAGAGCACCCGCCCGCCGACACCCAGCGCCAGCGCGUUCACCGCCGCCUUGUGGCGCUCCAUGGUGCCGACCAGCGCGAGCUUCCCCUGCCGCCCCGGGCGGCGCCUCCACGCCUUGACCGUCCUGUCGGCCGAGCCCGUGUACACGCUCCCGUCGGCCGACACGGCCACGGCGUUGAUGGCGUCGUCGUGUGCCGCUGCGAUGGACUCGGCGCAGCGGAGGCCCGGCAGCCGCCACGCCUUGAGGCUCCGGUCCCACGACACGGAGUACAUCUCCGCGCCGUCCGGGGACAGCGCGAGCGCGGUGACCGCGUCGGCGUGGCGCACCCAGGUGCGCCUCCGGUGCCGCCGGACCUCCACGUAGUUGCUGGGGAACAGGAACGUCCGCAGGUGGUCGGCGGCGGUCGGCAGGACGGCGCGCAGGGCGAGGUGGUGGUCGGAGCUCCCGUUCCUCCGGGCGGGAUGAUGCCACACUCUGAUCUUGCCGUCCUGGUGCGAGCUGACGAGGCCGUUGCUGGUGGCGAUGGCACACUUUAUGGAACUGUUGGUGACUGCAACCGUAGAGCUGGACUGCCCGUGCUCGGCUUGUCGCACGUCCAUGGCCAUGUCCAGCGGCCACAGCCUGAUGUGUCCAUUUGACGAGGCUAUGUAGAGUGAGUCGCCGUCGAUGGCGAGGCUGGAGACGUAGAACGAGUUACCUUUGAGGGUGGCAAUGCACUGGUAGAGGCAUGAACUCAAGCUUGGGUUCGCGGAGUUCUGCAAGGAAGGGCGAUUCGAUUGCGACAAGAAUGAUAUGGUGUGUUCCGUCUCAGAUACAUCCUGGGCUUGGGUUUCUUCUUGCCUAAUAGAACUCAUGGAAAACCUGUCAUUGGAGUCAAGAACUCACUGCAUACUUGCAACCUGCUGCAUGUGGAAGCAUAGAAAGAAGGUUAUGAUAAGCAUCAGUAAGGCAGUGGGUUAUCUUUAUAGUAAGUGACCUGAAGGAUGAGAUCACAGUGCAGAAAGAUCCAGCUGAGAGGUACUUGAGUGGGGGAAAAGACAGUCUGGAGCGCUUUAGAUUCUGGGGACAAAACUCUUGGUAAAACGUCUGUGUCAACAUAGCUACAUUCAAAUAGAAAAUUAUGCGCCUAUAUGGACUAGCUUUCACCGGAUAAUUCAUGGCGACUUUCUAACAGGUAAAGGUGAUCUAGGCUCCUCAUUGUUCCUAGCAGAGAAACAGGUCUAGGGUCUGUCAAGAAAUGCAUAUGCACACCUGAUGCGGAUUUGCCUUGCCGUGUUGGGAAUACAUUCAGCUUCCUUUUCUUCCUUGCCCCGCCCCGCCGCCACCCCCCACCGCCCCAAACACACACACUUUUUCUUCCAUCAAAAGUGAGCUUGCAAUGAUAACUUGGGUGUAAUUUGAUCUGAUCUCCAUUGAAGCUCGUUUCAGAGUGAUUUCAACAGAUUUUGCUGCAGUGAUAUAUUUUGUAAACAUGGUAAAAGAAGAGAACUCUAUGAUUUGUUAUCAUAUCAGAUAUUUAACAUCAAGAAGCCCCAUAACCAAUGCACCUGGCAACAACUACUACUUAACGAGGCACAUCAAUAUGACAAUUAUCUCGCACUCAAAACAAGUUUCAGGUAAAAAAGGGUAUUCGAUGCAAAGACAUGGGGGCCAUGUAUCAAUUUCCAUUUACAGUUGAGGUGCAAUUCAACAGAGCAUUUGGACAUAAACUUGUUAUGAACAACAUAGGGUUGGUGUUUUUCUUGAAGAAAAUUGAUGGAAUUGUAUUGCCAAAGCUCAUGGACUCAGUUCCACUCAAAAACAGUUGCAUAAAGCACUAAGCCACAGAAUUUUUUAAGCUAAAAAUUGCAAUGGUUCUGCCCUACAAAUCAAAACGAUUCUCAAAUGUAAAGAAUAUCCUAAAGACAGGAUUAGCUACUUUAAAUCCCUCAAAAACAGAUUUUAGCUGCUUUAAGGUCUUCUGUCUGGUGAAAACUGUGCUCUCAAGAAGCAAAACUAAAAAUUAAUAGCCUAGCUGUGAGAAGAAUAGAACUACUACGCUAGCUCGGGAAGGACCCCACUUGAAAAGCCCAAUCGAUAUGUCACAGCACAAGAAGCAGACAGACACUAAACAUGUUGCAUUAUCCAUUGCUUAUCAUCAAGGACCGAAAGACAUGAUGCAACACAACAGCGAUAAGAUAGGCACUGCUAAAGCUAGUGCAGGAAAGCCUAGUGUAUCACCAGAUAAACACAAGCUCUGCAUUCUCACUCUCACAACUAGUGAAUUCUCACUUGACAAACAAAAAAAGACUCGUGAAGGAGAGGAGAGGUAUGAAAUUAAUCAGGAGCCACUGCCAUAUGAAAAGUUUAGAUCUACUGAUCAGAACAAAUAGAUAAACUCUCGGAAGACUAGCAGUUGCUGAGUUAUGAGAUAGAAGAACUAUGUGAUGAUUUCAAGCUUGAGGCUUAGCCAUAAACAGUGAAUAAAAACUUAAAAUGUCGUCAACUUGUUCACACACAUGUGCAUGCACACAAGAGCAUAUGCACAGGAUGAUAAAUUAGUAUACUCGAUAUAUUUAACUAGGAAGUUAAAGUGACUUUAUGGAGCCUUUCAGAAGCACUCAGACAAGAUUUGUGCCAGAAACAAGACCAUAAUUCUUGUCGAACUAGCUCAGCUCCUACAAUUAACUUUCAAUUCAUGAAAAUCAAACUGUUGUGGACCUGAAAUAAAUAGUUGUAAAUAAAACCCAUAGCUAAAUCCACAAGUUAAGAUAUUUUUACAUUGUUACUAAAUUAUUUUUUUGAGGGAAACAGGAGGGGUUGCCCCGAGGGGUUGUUACUAAAUUAUGCACAUUCCUACCGAAAAUGGUAUGUGAAAAUUGAAAAAAGUAUAUGGUAGUCAUAGUUCUUAACACUGCAGAUGACCGUUGCAUCUCCUCUAAUAUACUUUUUGUAACCACGGUUGGUUAAAGACAUAUAGUCUUCUAACAAAAGCAAAUUCCAUAUUUCUCAGUGUUGAGGAAGAAAUAGCGCAUGCUUAAUUGAACAGAACCAAAUCGACAGUAUUAAUCUUGAAUGACACAGCAACCACAAUGCAAUCCCCACUUGGACAUUUAGUCGAGCAUCUGGUGAACGACAGCUAUUUGAGCACAGCAGAGGAAGCAGGAGGAUCCACAGUCGUGGCUUUGCCACGCACUGGUUGGAGUGGACCAGUUCUUAUGCAUCUAGUUUUCUCGUCCUAUAGGAUUUUUUGAAUUUGAGCCCCAUGUCAAUCUCUCAGUAUGGGGAAAAGAAUCUGGACACCAUCAAUGUUAGAAGCACUUAAUCAUCUCAAUUAUUCAAAAAUAUUGAUUAAACAUUCACAAGUUCGAUGAAGAUAUUAUAUGCAGAAAGCUCUUGAAAUGCCUUGACAAUAAUGUGAGAUACAUAGUGUAGAUAAUAUAUUACAUUUUUAUUGAUAAGGUAAGUCCGUGAAAAAUUUAUAAACAUAGGUUCUGAACAUGAACAAGUUCUGAGCAUAAGCACUGCAAGAAGUUGUAUAAGUAUGUAGAUGGCACCAGAGAUGGUAGCAUUACACAAAGAGGAUUAGAAUCCCAACUUGGACCUAUAUCAGCUUGAAGCCACUAACGAAAUUAAUUAUGGAGUUUUUAUUUUUAAACCAUUGGAUCAUCCUAGUCUAUCCUAUGGAGACAUUUAAUGUCUGUUUUAAUUGAAAUUGUACACUGAAACUUAAAUACAAACUUAGAACUAAAGUGAAGAUUCGAUCUGUUGUAAAAUACUGUUAGAGGUGAAAAAGAACUUGUUAAGCGCCGGUUCUGCCUUUACCUUGUUACUCGGAGUGGUAAAAUGUCAUAGUUGUAAAUAUCUGCAGAUAAUGGAUGGGGAAAAAAUCUGCAGAUAAGCAGCUAUGAAAAAAAAAUCCUAGAUUAGACUUAAUACUUAAAAUUGUAAUACCUAUUUCCAUUAUUUCAUACAUUUCAGGCCAGACACUCAAAAUAAUAGACAAAAAUUAAUGCAAUAAUAGAUAAGCCUAUUUGUAAAUCAUUAAACUGUAAAUAGCUAGCCUGAUCUCCCGAGACAGUGAUUAAACUGUUUGAACAGCAUCUGAGUCAAGCAGCAUAGAGGAUAGACAUGUCCCAUGGACAAGCAGAAGAGGAGGAGAAGAUGUUGGAUUGAACAUCUGAGUCAAACCGCAUAGAAGAUGCCUGCUCAUUUCCUUCCCCAGAUUUGGGUUCAAUGUGUCCUUAUUUCUGGUUGUGGUUGGUAAUUCAAAUAGUUAUUCAAUCACCACAGUAGCUCACGUAGGCAAAUGAUCGAGCAUAUCGUGUGCAUAACAGAAUUCAACUGAGAGCAACCAACAUCAUCUCCACUGGUAUGAGUACUUGGGCUCGGCUGCAGCAUGAUACGACGCCAAUCAACGACAGCAGGCAGUUUCGACAUCUCAAGCUCACGGAAGAAGGAUGGCCUUUCCUGAGCUACAACCACUCCGAUUCGCCGCGUCCUUACCGUGCUACUGCAUGCAGCCAGCGUACAUCGCAGUCGCCAAGGAUGUCUCACCUUGGAGCCGCGGUGCCGCGUGGCUGGGGGUGCAACGACCAUGUAUUGUGACCAAGGUCCGGCGGACGGCACUGUGGAUGGAGCGCAGCAGGUCGGCCAACGGCAGCGGUGCGACGGAGAUCAACUCCAGGUCUCCAGCUACCAUCCCUUUGUCCACCCUCUCCUCCACCUUGCGAACACAUGGGGAGGAUAAAGGUUGCGCUGCUGCUUCUCAUCUGAGUUGUGCCGCGCCGCGCUGCCACCACAUCUCCUCCUGAUGAUCGCCAUGGUGUCGGUGCGCUUCCAUUGGCGUCUCCACAAGGCAGAGAGAGUAAGACGCGGCAGGUGGAGCGAAUGCUCUUAAGGCGGACAGCGCAGCGAUAGGGUAUGCGAUCGGGACGAGACGCUGGAAAGUUCGACACAAAAGGAGAAAGGUCUGGUGAAACGCGAGGUGCUGUGGCCGUGGUCCAAUGGCUGACUUAACUGCAACAGGAAGAUCGAACGGAUGAGCUUCGCUGGUGACGUGGCCUAAUAAAAUGAUCGAGCUUGGCGCAGGAUUCAUACUAUAGAGAUUACUAAUUGUAUAGCAGAAUUGCAAAUUAGAUUGCUUGAAGUUUUGUUUUCAACUCUAGUUAGUUUUCAAACUCUAUUAUGAUGAUUUUACCGAAUUCACUACCGGAAACAGUAACUUUGCCGAGUGCCCCAGGCACUCGGCGAAGGGCCAAGGGUUUGCCGAGUGUAACACUCGGCGACCUUUACUCGGCAAAGUUUUUCUCGGCAAACAGUGUGUUUGCCGAGUGUCGACCAUCGGCCAAGUGCCGCAAUACACUCGGCAAAAUAUGACACUCGGUACAAAGACGUUAACGGGCUGUCACGGCGACGGAAGCUUUGCCGAGUGUCUGACGGCCAACACUCGGCGAAGUCUACAUCUUUGCCGAGUGUUUCCCUAAAUACACUCGGCGAAGUUUACAUGUUUGCCGAGUGUUUCCCUAAAUACACUCGGCGAAGUGUACAGGUUUGCCGAGUGUUUCCCUAAUUACACUCGGCGAAGUUUACAUCUUUGCCGAGUGUAUUUAAUAAAACACUCGGCAAAGAUGCCCGUCCCGCCAUUUUUUAUGCCCCCUUUGCCGAGUGUUUUUUUGAAAACACUCGGCAAAAUGGUCUUUGUUUGCCGAGUGCCUACCCUAUGGCACUCGGCAAACAAGCAAUUCCGCCAAAUUGUUUGGCCCCUUUGCCGAGUGUUUGAAGAAUACACUCGGCAAACCCGUCUACUACUACCAGAAAUGGCCUCUUUGCCGAGUGUUAACACUCGGCAAAGUGUCCUAAUUCCUGCUACAAAAUAGAAAUGUUAGGUAUAAAGGACCCCUCUCGAAAACAACCACAGAUACACAGGCAUAUUAAUUGCAGCACAAGCAUAUAAAUUCCACCACAGGAUUCACAAGCACACAAAUAGCAUUCAUAAGUUCUCGUCUAAAUAAGCAAUUCACAUGUUUUGCAUCACAAACACAGAAAUGACAAGUCACUGAGGAGGAUGAGGAGGACGUGCAGGUGGCCACUGCCCCCAGGAAGAUUCUGCAUUGGACGCCGCCGAUUGAUUCUGCACAAAUGUAGGUAAAGAGAUUUCAUAGUCUAAACAAGUAAUUCUAGUGGAAGUAAGUCUAGAUUGAUUGUAAGGUUGAGAUUGACUCACAGGAGUAGCUGCAGGAGGUGGUGGAGGUGGCGGGAAGAGGUUCGGUGGCAUAGGUAGUGGAGUUUGACCUAAACUGUGGAACACACUCUGCAUGUAUUGGAACAUCUGCUCCGUCCUCUGCCUUUCAAGCUGCCGAUCCGCCUCGAUCCUCGCCUCUAGUUCCUCUUGGCGCUUCCGUUCUACCUCCACCUGGGCCUACAAUAUUUCAUCCCAACCACUUAUUGUCAAGCAAAAGGUAAGUACAAAAUGAAUGAAAAAUUAAAGAAACACAACUAACCUGCAGAGUCUGCAUCUGUAGCUGUGCAGCGGUAGGCCGUGGCCGUAUCGCGGGGCUCGAGUCCGUGCUCCUUGCUCGGAUCUGGGAGAGAGUGGGAGUACUGGCAGUGUCGAUCACGCUAUCUCCAAUCCAAUACCUGCCAUGCUUCUUCCCUCCUCCUACCCUCAUCACUAUUUCAGCAUCGAUAUCCUGAGAGCUCGGAUCGAACUCUGGCCCGUGAACCUCCCUCGCCAUGGCUGUGUACUCGGUGACGCGGCUGUGGAUGCUGGGAUGGCUGUACGCCUCGGGCGGGUCCUCCGGGUUGAAGUCGAUGUCUGCCGUGGCCUUGCCCUUUUUAGACAUAACCCAUGCCUUGAACCGGGAGCACUCCUGACCAUCAUGUGAUGAAGUCUGCGGAAAAAAUGUAAAAUGAUUACAAAAUAUGCAGUAUUAUGUCUGAGAAAACAGAAAUGAAUUCACGUACCCAUUUUUCCUUGUACUCAUCAAGGCUCAGGCUACCUUGAUGGUGUGAUGCUUAUGGCAUCUGCAGACGCCGCUCCCGGCAGGCAUUGUGGAUCUCCAACCACCCAGGCUGCAACCACACGUCCACCAUUUUUUCCCAGCACCGGGUAAAGGAUCGGCACCACCACGGAGGCACCUAUAUGAAGUGUGACAUAUAAAUAACGGAAUUAAGCGUAAUUAAUCUCUCAAAUAGUAAAUAUAGUCUUUAUGUACGUACCGCCAUGAAUUCUUCCUUGGUCAGGUUCAUUGUCCUGGCCUCUUCUUUUUUGAUCCUCAUCCUUUUGUAUUCAGCAUAAAAGUCGAUGAUGGCCUGAACGCGCGCCUCGUAGUGCAUGUCCUUAACAAGCUUCUUAGCGGCUUGUUCAAUCACGGAGGCCGCCCUAGCCUCGAAGCCCUCCUGACAUCUAUAAAAGUCCUGCGUAUAGACGGCAAGCAUACAAUUAUUAUAUCAAGAAUGUAUUAAGCAAUGUAGUGCUGCGAAGACUUACCCACAGCUCGACCUUCACCCGCUCCGCCUUGUUCGCAAACUGCCUGUGGUCACGAUCACCGACGUCGGUGGCAGCGACGUAGUGGUCCCACGUGUAGGCCGGCUCCUCCUGUCCGACGAAGACCACUAGACCGGGGAAGUGUAGCCUACACAAAAGACCGACGAUGCCGUUGACCUUGCGGUUGUGGGCACCCCCACUGAGCUUAGUCCAACUCCUGCACAAGUGAUUAAUAUGUGAGUUUGAACAUAUCAAAAGUACAGAGAAUAUGUGAAGAAACUUACUUUGCCCCAGCGGGUUGAAUCAGGGGGCGUAAAUGAAGAGGGAUGGGUCGCCUCGGGAGGGACGAGGGACCUCGCAACCAGAUCUUGGACUGCUCCUCCCCUCCCUCCUCCCCUGCCUCCUCCCCCUCCUCCCUCUCCUGCUCCUGCUCCUCCUGUACCUCCGCCUCGUCACUAGAGGCGUGCGCGGAGGGUACCUCCUCCUCCUCCUCCUCCGACGACGACGAAGGCACAGGCGACGUGGCCCUCACCCCUUUACCCUUUCCUCGACCCCUGCCCCAACCCCUGCCUCUAGCCAAGACCUGUGCCCCCACCGCUUCCUCCACGGGUGCGUCACCCCUGCCUCCACCCCUCCCUCGACGCCUUCCUCGACCUCUCGAUGCGUCUGACCGUGUACCUGACCCGGAAGCUGCAGCUUUUAAUUUUUCGUAAAGCGCUGCGAUCUUCCUCGUACCGCCCACCAUUGUUCAAUCACCUGCAUUUGCCAAGAGUAAACCAAUCAGCACAUAUAUAAAUAAAACAUAAUUUCAAAAAUAACAUGGUAUGAAAAAUAAUAAAUAAAUUAUUACGAUCCAUACAUGUCUUAGAAAUAAUCGUCAUGAUCGGGAUUAGCUGGAUCAUAAGUCUCAUCGUCACUGUCACGCGUGUCAAACAAAUCAUUCCCGUGCUCCGAAGUUUUAGCGUCAUCAUCAAUGUCCUGUCCUAACUGUAACCGCUGAAGUAAUUCUAACUCCUUCAUAUUAUGAACCUCCUCUCCAGCGUCAUCGUCAACAACCCUUUCAUUGUCUACUUCCAUUGCAAAAGCGUCGGUUAAAUCAAUCUCAAAAAUCUCCGUCAUAUGUGUUGGGGUUAAUGUUGUAAUCUUCAUUAUUUGGUACAGGUAGUUUACCGUGUGGCGAUACCUUGUACACAACAUCCCAACCCUUCAGACGAUCGUCAGUUUGGCACGGGUAUGACAAAUAAUAAACUUGCGUGGCCUGUUGAGCCACAAUAUAGACAUCGUCUCCUUGGAAGACGGAUGAUUGCCGAAUUUCGACUAACCCAAGAUUAGGUGCCCGUCUCACGACUGAUGGAUCAAACCAAUGGCAUUUGAAUAUGACAUGAUUAAGAACUUUGCAACCAUGAAAAAUUAGUUCGUAUAUUUCUUCAAUUCUUCCGUAGUACUCGACACCAUCAGAGCCUAGCGUGAAUACUCCGGUAUUUGUCGUUCCUCGAUUGGGCCGACUCUGCUCAUGGAUUGUUGUGUGAAAACGAUAACCAUUUACGUCAUAACCGGUAAAAGAUCUGACCCUGUAGGCAUAGCCAUCGGCAACCUGUCUAACCUCAACAUUUAUAGACGAAACGGUUUGAGCCUGCAAGUUGAAGUAGGGUGGUUCGUUAUAUUAUUCGCAUGUACGGCAAACUUGGAACGUGGUAAUCAUGAACGAGCGAAAUUGGAUUGUACCUUAUGUUUGAACCAAGAAAUAAAAUCGGGCAUUCCAUUACCCGCACCCUUUUGAAGAAGGGUCUCGGCUUCGUGCGGGGUAGGUUCCCUUGAAUUACGCCAGAAUUUACGAUGAAAUUCCCUGUACCAACGAGAAACAUGAGAGUUGAUCCCAGAAUAGUGAUUAAUUGAGAACAAACUAGUUUGUUCACAACUUACAGUAUGUACGGCUCCACCUCGGCAAGGUUGGUCAAUACAUACAGCAUGAUAGUGCGCCACUCUUUAUGUUUCAAUUUCUUCUGUGUCGCACCACUUGCACUUCCAAGUUGUCCUCGAAAAAGGCUAAGGCUCGAUUCAACUUCUGAGUCAUUAUAACGAGCGGGUGGAUUGUGCACGCUAGGAAGGUUGUCAGCAUAGUAUUUGGUUGUGAAGUUUGACACCUCCUCCAGAAUGUAUGCCUCUGCAAUGGAUGCUUCAAUUUUGCAUUUAUUUUUACAUUUAGUUCGAAGGACCUUUUGACAUCUCUCAAUUGAAUAGCACCAACGACCCUGCACAGGCCCCCCCAUUCGUGCUUCAUACGGGAGGUGCAAAAUCAUAUGCUGCAUCGGAUUGAAGAAGCCAGGCGGAAAGAUCUUCUCCAACUUACAGAGCAACACAGGUGCCAUUCUUUCCAUUUCUGCAACCACGGUCCGAGAUAAUUCCUUAGCACAAAGCUGACGGAAGAAAUUGCUCAACUCCGCUAGCACUUGCCAGACAUUAUUAGGUACAUAGCCUCGAACCAUCACCGGGAGUAGGCGCUCAAGCCAUACGUGGUAAUCAUGACUUUUGAGCCCGUUGAUUCGCAUAGUAGCUAGGUUCACUCCCCUCUUCAAAUUCGCUACAUACCCAUCAGGGAACAUUAACGUUUGGAACCAUUCUAAUACCUCGCUCUUUUGGGCCCUCGUCAGGACAAAAUCGGCCUUAGGCUUUCUCCACGACUUGCCGGCUCUAGGAGGCACCAUGUCUAGCUUUGGUCUGUUGCAUAACCUUGCUUGAUCCACUCUAGCCUUAACGUUAUCCUUUGUCUUGUCAGGAAUGUCCAUGAUUGUACCAAAAAUUGCCUCAGCGAUGUUCUUUUCAGUGUGCAUAACAUCAAUGUUAUGUGGGAGAAGAAGAUCGUCAAAAUAGGGGAGAUUCCACAAGCAAGACUUCUGAGUCCAAGCAUGUUGCUCGCCAUAUCCCACAAACCCACCUUCAUGAUUAUUGACCUCAAGAGCGUCUAUCUGAGCACGAACCAAGGCUAAGGUCAACAUCUGCGGUGGGGGCUCAUUAACUACGACAUCUUUCGUAAAAUUUCUAAUAUCUGUUCUGAAAGGAUGGUCAGGAGGAAGGAAUUGUCGAUGUUUGUCGAAUGAAGAAUACUUGCCACCCUUGGUCAACCAAGUGAACUUCACUGAAGCCUUGCAUACUGGGCAGGGGAACUUCCCGUGAACACACCAGCCACAGAAAAUACCAUAUGCCGGCAAGUCAUGCAGGGAGUAGUGGUACCAAAUAUGCAUCUUGAAGUUUGUCCGUGUAGGCCGGUCGUAUGUCCAUACCCCUUCCUCCCAUGCACGGACCAAAUCAUCUAUCAGAGGCUCCAUGUACACACUCAUAUUAUUCCCUGGGUGUUCUGGAAUUAUCAACGAUAAAAAUAUGUUUUGUCGCUGAAAGAUGACACCAGGGGGGAGAUUCAGGGGGAUAACAAACAUAGGCCAACAUGUGUACGGGGUAGCCGCCAUUCCAUAUGGAUUGAACCCAUCUGUUGCGAGCGCAACACGUACAUUACGAGCCUCUCGAGCUUUCUCAUCAUAAAUGGCAUCAAACUUUGUCCAGGCUUCACCAUCGGAUGGAUGUACCAGCUUGUCAGCAUUGUAUCGACGUCCGUUUUUAUGCCAUGUCAUUUGUUUCGCGGAUUCUUCACACAUGUACAGCCGUUGGAUCCUCGGUAUGAAGGGAAGGUACCGUAGAAUCUUCACAGGGAUUGCAAGCUGCUUCUUCUGACCGUCACCAGAGUCUACCUCCAGGAAUCUAGAUGAUUCGCACUUCACACAGUACUUGGCUUCCGCAUAUUCUUUCCUAAAUAAGAUGCAUCCCUUCGGGCAAGCAUGUAUCUGCUCGUAUGGCAUCUUAAGUGCACGAAGAAGUUUUUGUGCCUCAUACUGUUGGCGCUAGAAAUCGGUCAACCGAAUCCCAGCGACCGACACACGACCCGGGAGAAUCUGCUUAGCUCCUGUUCGGGUGAAUGCCCUGAUGCGGUUCGCGCGGCGUGCCAGCCAAUCUGACCUGUUGAUUGGCAAGGAAGAACACGUGUCAGGUUCAGAAACUACGAUCGGCUAAGUUUCCGAUCGAGAGAGUUUAUCAGCGAAUCGGCCGAUUUACUAUGAUAAUGAAAUCGGCUAUAAGACAGCACGAUCCCUGUAGCCUUGUAGACGGAAAAAUACUAAAGUAAUCGGUACAAAGCUUGUGAUAACAGCACUAGGAAAAGAUCUAAUCGGCAACGGAUGGAUCUAACGAUAGAAAAUAAUGAAAGCCGAUACUACCGAUUCCUAGCGGGAUAAUUGGUGAUAAAAACUAGGAAAACAGGUAAAAACCUAUGAAUCUAGUUGAUAUCGAUAACUGAUGAAUAAAUCUAAACGAAACAACAGCGAUGCGCCGGAAGUUAAAGCUUAGAUAUUACUCGAUAAACGGAACUUACAGAAUCGGCCGGAGAUCAAGAUGAUGCAGCCCUGCCAAUCCGCACGAACUCGUGAGAAGAAAAAAGUAACGGCGAAGUCGCCUGCUCGAAAGUAAGUACGAAGAAGAAAGUAACUUGUUGUAUUGAUUGGUUGAUGAUUACAGAUUUACAAAGGUAGCUAUUUAUAGCCCCGUACAGAUAACUUCUUAACCGACUAGAAUUCUAUCUCUAAUUCAAACAGAAAACAAACAUCUACAAGCACAAUUCAUGCUAGGUUAGUUAUCCCACGCUUCGUGGGCUGACCCCCACCUUAUCCUUCCAUCCCUUUCCAAACCCAUACAGGCCCAAUUAGCCCAUCCUCUUAAUCGGCCGAUUUCCCAUCGGCAAAAGAUUACCGAUUGGGAUUCUGGUGCAUUCAUCCUGAAGUGAGACAAAAGUCGUCAGCCGAUCCCGCACUACAGCACCAUUUGACCGAUUCCCAACUGUAGUUCUCCGAUUUCUUUCUGCUUGGCGCCGAUUCUACUGGUGACGAAAUCCGGCGUCAACACAUGCCCCCCAGUUUCGGAGUAAAACACAGUCUUUUACUUUGAAAUUCUUUUAUAACCUCUCCUCCAAAACGGCCGCAGUGAAAAUAUCCUUCCGUUUCGCGGUCUCCCGGCUGAUCAUUGCAAUUUUGAAACGGGCGCCCACGACAGCCACUACCCCGAAAAACUCGAAGCGCCGGCGCGGUGAAAAUUCCAUCUUUACCCUUUCUUCAGGCAUCCUAUAAAUAGCGUUUCACCGCAGCUCAUCUUCAAGCUCACGUCUCUUUUCCCAACGCGCGCGCAUCCUUCUUCUUUCCACACUCUCCCUUGCCAUCGAAGUCUUCUAGUUCCAGUUCCUAUUACUUCUUCCCCCUUCCCUUCGAUGGCGACUCCUUCCGGCAGCUCCCCCGCACGCGAUGCUCCAGAGAUAGUGCCUCCGGUGGUGGUAGCGACGGCCGUCACUUCAUCUGCAGAUGAAAGAGCUUCAUCAGAAAUCCCAAUGGCGGUCCCCAUCACGGCCCCGUCAUCCACAUCCGCAUCGGCGACCACACCGAUUACUCAGAACUUUAUCCCGGAGGUAAAUACCGAAUCCUUCCCCUAUCGGCAACGUAUUUAUCUUAGAUCUACUCCUUACAUUCCUAUGCCCUUUUUCCUUUUUUAGGCGGUUAGGCAUAGAAUUACUAUUCAUCUCACGGGCAGUCCUGGCCUUGUUUACCUUGGUCCCAUGGGAGACCCAGAUCCGGCAGAUCUUAUAAAUUUGGAAACUGACCGGGUGCCCUUCAAACGAUCCGAUAUGAACUUAGAUCAAUGGGUGAGCACUUUCAGAUCUUGGCCGAAUGAAACCCUAGGUUGGAGGGAAUGGUACCAACGGGUGGCCGCGUCCAAGAGUGUCUUGUGGGAAGAGCUCAAAAUCGGCCAAUGCAUCAACCUCUCCCUAUCUCAAAUGGAGAAAAAUGAGCUGUUAGUGAUGGCGGCUUCCUAUUUUUGGUCUGACGCACUUAAUGCGUUCUUAUUUGGACACGGUCCUAUGACCCCCACCUUGGCCGAUGUGGUCCUCUUGACCGGCCUGGACAUAUCUUCCCCUGACACACCCUUCCACCUUUUGACCACAACGUCGCAUCGGCUGGACACAAGGGGAAUCGACGGCUGGAAGGGCUUUAUCAGUAGUAACAAGAAGACCGGUACUGUUGAGAACAGGGAACACACAGCUUUCCUGAUGAUGUGGCUAGAAAAACACCUCUUCUGUGGAAGAGCCGCCGGCCCAACAACCAACACCCAAUCCUUAGCUGAAGCACUAUCCAGAGGAAGCCAUAUUCCUCUCGGGAAACAUCUUCUGGGUGCUGUGUACCAUAUGCUCCAUGAAAUCGGCACAAAACUUUUCAAGGGAGAACCAAUCGGCAACCCAGGUGGGCCUUGGUGGUUUGUCAAUCUAUGGUUGAACCUUUACAUGAACAAAAUCACCCGGCAACCAGUGGACCAUAUGAUGUUUCCCAAUAUCGAAUCGGCGGAGGACCCUACCGAGCGUCGCCGAUGCAUGUCUUUUGGUGAAGCAGCGUCAGCUUUUCCAGGUUGUGCGUAUUCUGCUACAAAGGUAGCCGAGUACUUUCGGUGCUUUUAUAAUGGAUUUAAUGAGGACGCGACUAUCUGGUUUCCAUACCAGCGAGACAUUCCAGUCUUUGAGCUCCCCUCCUGCUUCGAUUCAACUUCUGGCCGGUUUGAUGAAGAUCUUUAUGAAGAAUUGAUCAAACCAGGGCUCCUACCGGCCAACUUCUUUUCAGGGAAAGAUGCCCCUACAUACAAAUUCUACAACCCGUCUACUGCCGCACGACAAUUCGGCAUGGGUCAAUUGCCGAUACAAGUGUAUUUUGCUGGCCGAAUCAAAUUCAGAGAUGUGCUCACAACUGGCCUGGAUUACUGUCGGCUGCGAGACCGAAUUCCGGACUCUAGUACGAUUAAUUUGAAUGAUUGGCUAUUAUUUCCAUUUGCCGUCCAUCCGUUCAAACUUUGGUGGGCCGAAUGGAAGCAAUUUCUAUUCUGCAACUCAGCAUCGGCAUACUGCAACCUUCUAGAUCCGGCCAACAUUGAUCCAAACGCCGAGGUAUUUCUGAUUACCGAUUUUUAUUCUUCCCAACAUGAUUGAGCACUAAUAAUUUCACUGUUUCUUUAGGCCGAGAAUCGGGCCCCUCCAACGCACAGCCGCAGCGGUCGGCUAAUAGAGAGCUAUCCAUACACCACCUAUCCUCUCAUCGGCUACGACGCUCCGUCAGUUGACAUGAUCGCUGGCCGAUCGAAAAAGGUUCAUAAGAAGGUCGUCAAGAAAACCAGUCGCCGAGUCCGGGCUCGUACGGAAUCGGCGGAUCCUCCUGUGCUCGUAUCGGCAGAAGCUUUGACUGCACCACCUUCCCAGGCCGCACAAAGUGCCAAUACUCAAGCCAUCACACAAGCCGGAGUGGCUGCCGCAUCAUUAUUAUUGGAAGCUAUACAAGUAAGUCCGAGCUUUACUAUCCCCGAUUGUCGUUUUGAUAUUAGCUCUUCUUAACUUUGUACUUCUUAGAGCACCUCUGCGGAAAUACCGCAAUCGGCGACGACUCGACCGGACACCAAUGCACCUCUGCCCUCAUCCAUUGAGGUACGGUACUUAUCUUACGGAUUUCCUUCGAGUAUUUGCGUAAUGUAUCUAACCGAUUUUUGACGCAGGCCAUCGGCACACCGAGCGCUUCCCUACAACCGAUUUCUUCCCAGGGAGCUGGUCCGAGCACCGCGCCGAUUAUCGUGGAGUCCUCUUCAUCAGAUGAACCUAUGGCGCAGGCCACUGAGCAAGACAUGACGGCUUUACAAGCGCAGCAUGAAGAAAUUCGUUUUAAAAUGGUAAAUUCCUAAACCAGCUUUCAACCAGCCGAUUUGCUCUGAUCCCCCGCCGAUUCACCCCUUUUCCUUAUUUUCUUAGGAACAAGAUUCCCCCAACAACAGCCUCUUCUCCUUCGCGGUUGCUCUUUCUGAUGAUGAGGAAAUCGCAUCCCGCCAAGUUGCUCUAAGCUCCGUUCCUGACGACGUCCGAGCUAAACUUACCAACAUCCGAUCCCUCCUGCAAGGGGACAUCGGCCGAUUGGUAGAAGAUGCUUCGCCGAUUCGGCAGCUCUUUAGUGACGUCAGCGGACGAGUACCAGAGGAAGCGGAAGAGGCCUUGGCACCGGCGGCCUUUAUCGAGUCCAUGAGGAUCCCAGUUUUUAGGGCCCUUCGUCAUAUGGCCGAUCGCGCGAAACUGGCCAAGACCCGUGAAGAUGAAAACGCUUUUAAGCGUCAGGCUCAAGAAGCGAAUCGGCGUAUCCAUGUCCUAGAAGGUUCACGCCCGGCGAUCAUUAGUGAAAUAGAUCGCCUCAAACGUCGGAGGGCGGAACUUGCCAAAGAGAUGGAGCAAGUGACCAAGGCAAUCAGCGCCGAAGAGAACAAACUUCAAGAGUUACCCUCUGCUAUUGCCGAUUUGACACGGGAGAGGCAGCGUUUUGCUCAAGAGGCUCUGAGACUCCACCGCAACGCAUCGGAGGUCCCUGGAUCGGCAGAAGAAGACCAACGGGUUCUUGAUUCUGCCGAUCAGAUCCGGCGUCGGGCCAUCACGGCUAUCGAUACCCUUUUGGGUGAUCUGUAAAACACUGACCGUUUUGUACAAACAUUUACUACCUUCUUUGACCGACCCUUCGCGACGCCCUCUAUUUACUGCCUUCCUUAUUACCGAUGGGACGUGGCCUCAUCAGAUUUCCACGUAUUUUCCCCAUAAAUAUCGACCUCGGCGCCUACUCCCGAUAGCAUCGACUCGGCUCCCAUUUCGCUUUUCCUCUUCUUCUCAUCAGUGCGACUAUUUCGUCAUGGCCUCAUCGUCAUCCUCUUCUGUCAACCAGGUGAAGUCCCGACCUCCCCUCUUAGAUCUUAGGAAACGAAUACUUCACCUUAUUCCUUCUUUGUUUCAGCCCCAACGCCUUGGUCCGGAGCUCGUGCGCGCCAUCGAGUGCAUCCACUCCGAGGACCCGUUGACCCCGGAGGACAAGGCUCUGAUUCUGGCCCACCAAGAGGAGCUCCAAGACCACAUUACUGCAGAGGCUCGUGCAGUCUUGGAUGCCGUGGUGAAUGAAAGCCGUCGCCGAUCUCCAGUCAUGAGGGGUCGUCGUUGUGACGUUCCUGUAGAUGACGUCACUUCGACAGCCCGCGCGAUCCUGGGCUACCUGGAGAGGAACGGCGGCCAGCGGUCUUCCACCGAUAGGGUCCGUCUGCUUCCUCGGCCCGUCAUCCUGGCGGCGGCAGAGGCCUCGCGCCUUCGUGCUUUGGAGCGGAAUGGGAAGUCAUCUCAGAAGAAGAACAAUUAGUUUGUUUUUUGUAAUUUUUUUGUUCUAAGGGCGACUAAUGUUUUGUCGGCCAUGUAAUCUGUCGCCCGUACCGAAUGAAUGUAAUCGGCCACUCCAGUCGAUUUUAUGUGCUUCUUAAACCGACUUGUAUCGGCUGUGUAUGAUUGUGUUACGGUUGAUUUCUUAGGCUCCAACCCAUAUACUUGGGUAAUAUCUUUUUAAGUACCUUCCAUUCAUAGCUCUAGUGAAUUCUUCUCCUUCUAUUGUUUCCAAAAUGUAGGCAUUCCCUGGAGCGCAUCUGCCGAUUUUAUACGGCCCUUCCCAGGUAGGAGACCAUUUGCCGAAUUUAGGAUCUUUCAACCCGAUCGGUAGUACCAACUUCCAUACCAAGUCUCCGGGGGAGAACUGCUUGACUUUGACCUUCUUAUCGUACCACCUGGCCACCCUCUUUUUAUUCUCCUCGACACUUAUCAGAGCCCUUAGUCGUUGGCCGGCCAAAUCAUCAAGUUCUCCUUUCAUCAGAGAUGAGUAAUCAUCGGCUGACAACUGGUCCUGAAGUGAAAUGCGCCUUGAUCCUGCCCUCGACUCCCAUGGCAGUACUGCAUCAUGACCGUAUACCAACUGAUAGGGAGAUAACUUAGUGGCCCCAUGACAGGCCAUUCUGUACACCCACAGGGCUUCAGUCAAACAUAGGUGCCACUUCUUUGGGUAUUCUUCAAUCUUGCUUUUGAUCAACUUGAUUAUUCCUUUGUUGGAAGAUUCUGCUUGACCAUUGGCUUGAGCGUAAUACGAAGAAGAAUUUAACAACUUGAUGCCCAUAUCGGUCGUAAAUUCCUCAAAUUCCCCCGAUGUGAACAUUGUUCCUUGAUCGGUUGUUAUAGUUUGAGGGAUACCGAAUCGGUAGAUGAUAUGGUCCCUUACGAAAUCGGCCAUGAUAGCCGAAGUCACGGUCCUUAAUGGGAUUGCCUACACCCAUUUGGUGAAGUAAUCAGUAGCCACCAGAAUAAACUUGUGCCCCUUGCUCGAUGGUGGAUAAAUUUGGCCGAUAAGGUCUAUUCCCCACCCUCUGAACGGCCAUGGUUUGAUGAUGGGAUUCAUGGCCGACGCGGGUACAUGUUGGACAUUUCCAAACUUUUGACACUCCUGACAACCCUUAUAAUACUUGAAACAGUCUUCGAGGAUCGUAGGCCAAUAGUACCCGUUGUUUCUGAUCAUCCACUUCAUCUUAUGUGCCGAUUGGUGAGCUCCGCAUACCCCUUCAUGGAUUUCUCCCAUUAGAGUCUUGGCUUCUUCUGUCCCAAGGCAUUUAAGAAGGACACCGUCGAUCGUUCGGUAGAACAGAUCAUCUUCGAGCAGUACGUACUUGGUGGCGUGAAAGCGUACUCGUCGCUCCACCUUUUUAGACGGAUCCUUCAGGUAAUCGGCAAUUUCUUUACGCCAAUCAUCGGCUGCAAGUUCUAAGGCCAUGGCGCCCAGAAUCGGCCGAUACCCAGAUGCGUGCUGGGCGAGUUUGUUCGCUUCCUCAUUGCGAUCUCUUGGAACAUGCUCGAUUACUGCUGAUCUGAAUCCUUUUAAAAGCUGUACGCAAUCUUCAUGAUAGAUUCUUAAUAUGUCAUCUUUGCACUCAGCCCUUCCGGUUAGUUGAUCCACAAUUAGCAUAGAAUCCCCGAAGAUCUCAACAGAAUCGGCCUUGACUUCUCUCAAUAAUUGUAAGCCUUUCAAUACGGCUCUAUACUCCGCUUGAUUGUUAGUGGCGGCGGUUUCUAUCGGCAGAGAAAAAUCAUAGCUUGCCCCCCGAGGCGAUAUGAGAACGAUGCCGAUUCCUGAUCCAACCCCGCAUGAUGACCCGUCAAAAAAUAAUUGCCAAGGUGCUAGUUCCACGAGGGUGAUCUCCGGUCCACAGUGCUGGGCGACGAAAUCGGCCAUGACCUGACCCUUGACGGCUUUUGCCGAUUCAUACCGUAGGUCAAAUUCUGAUAAAGCUAAGAUCCAUUUACCGAUUCGUCCUUUCAAUAUCGGCAGUGAUAGCAUGUAUUUCACUACAUCAUCUUUGCAUACGACUACGCAUUCUGUCGACAGUAGAUAGUGCCUGAGUUUGGUGCACGAGAAGUAAAGAUACAAACACAAACGCUCUACCGGAGGAUAUCUUGUUUCGGCAUCCAAGAGUCUUCUACUGACGUAAUAAAUUACCCGUUCUUUGCCUUCAAACUCUUGGACUAGAGCCGACCCAAUAGCUUUUUCAUCGGCUGAUAAAUACAGUUUAAACGGUUUACCAGUUUGAGGGGGGGACCAAGACUGGCGGUGAGACCAAGUAUCGCUUGAUAUCCUCUAACGCCUUGCGCUGUUCUUCUCCCCAUAUGAAUUCCUGGUCGGGCUUCAACUUCAGAAGUGGCGUGAACGCCUGGAGUCGUCCAGAUAGAUUAGAUAUAAACCUUCUGAUGAAGUUUACCUUGCCAAUUAGAGACUGUAGCUCAGUUUUGUUCUGUGGAGCAACGACUUUGUUGAUGGCCGCUAUGGUCUUCUGAUUGACUUCUAUACCUCGUUCGUGCACCAUGAAUCCUAAGAAUUGUCCGGCGGAGACGCCGAAAGCGCAUUUGUUGGGAUUCAUCUUAAGACCAUGCUUUUUGGUACACUCUAGCACCCUUCGCAAAUCGGCCAGGUGUUCCUCGUGGCUUUUGGACUUGACCACAACAUCAUCGAUGUAGAUCUCCACCAGGAGGCCAAUGAGUUUGUGAAAAAUGUAGUUCAUGGCCCUCUGAUAUGUAGCGCCAGCAUUCUUCAAGCCGAAAGUCAUCACCACCCACUCGAAUAAACCGAGAUGUCCCGGACAUCUGAAAGCCGUUUUGGGUAUGUCCUCUUCGGCCAUAAGUAUUUGAUUGUAUCCGGCGUUUCCAUCCAUGAAGCUAAUAAUUUUGUGUCCCGUGGCGGCGUCGAUCAGUACAUCGGCCGUAGGCAUGGGGUAACCAUCCAUCGGUGUGGCCUGAUUAAGAUUCCUGAAAUCAACGCAAACGCGCAGCUUCCCGUUUUUCUUGUACACUGGCACGAUAUUAGAAAUCCACUCGGCAUAACGACAUUGCCGAAUAAACUUUGCUUCAAUUAGCCGAGUUAUUUCAGCUUUUAUGUCUGGUAAAAUUUUAGGAUUGCAUCGCCGUGCGGGUUGUUGGUACGGCCGAUACCCUGGCUUUAUGGGUAGCCGAUGUUCAACAAUAGAUCGAUCUAAACCGGGCAUCUCGUGAUACUCCCAAGCAAAACAAUCCUUGAAUUCUCUUAAUAAAUUUGUCAAUUUACACUUAUACUCUGGGUCUAAAUCUGCACUAAUAAAAGUCGGCCUUGGUUUGGUUCCGUCACCUAAAUCUAUCAUCUCUAAUGAAUCGGCCGACGUGAAUCCGUGCCCCAGCUUCCCGUCUUCUCGGGCGAACUGAUCCAUCUAUUGCGCUUCUUCGGAGCCGACUGCUCGGAUCGGCUGUAGGCCAAAAUCGGUGACCUUCAGGAAAUUGGUUUCCCACACCCUACCUGAUAUGCAUCUGAUGGUUUCGCAGCUCCAUUGCUGUGCGUCGGCUGCUGCGAUGCUGUACGCAAAGUCGGCUUUGACCACCUCGAUGCUAUCGCCGACCCAUUGUACGAGGCACUGAUGCAUAGUUGACGGGAUGCAGCAGUUUGUGUGUAUCCAGUCUCGGCCAAGAAGCAUAUUAUAGGACCCUUUGCCAUUAAUGACGAAAAACGUGGUAGGAAGAGUCUUACUGCCGAUGGUGAGGUCGACGCAGAGAGCACCGCGAGCGUUUGACACCUUGCCUUCGAAGUCCUUGAGCAUCAUGUCCGUCCUAGUUAGGUCGUCGUCGCUCUUCCCCAGCUUCCGGAGUACGGCAUACGGCAUGAUAUUGACAGCAGCUCCUCCGUCGACCAUCAAUCUAGUGAGGGGACGACCGUCAACAUGCCCUUUAAGGAACAACGCCUUCAUAUGUUGUCGUUCGUCGUCUUCGGGCUUUUCGAACGUGGCCAUCAUUGGUUCUAAAGCCAACCGCACUGUCUGUUCCUCUAUCGCCGAUACGUCCUAUUGAUCGGCAGGGGUCAUGAACUCCAUCGGCAAAAUGAAAACCAUACCGAUCUCGACUGCCGAUUCAUCACCCGCCGACUCAUUGUUUCCCUUGUCGUUUCUUUUGGGGCGCCACACCCGAGGCCUCCCUUCCUUCUUGUCCAUCGCGCUCUCUUCCUCUUGCUGUUCCCAUUGGCGGAGGCGUUGGAUCCUCCAUUUUUGUGAUUUGGUUAAACCAUCGGGGCACCACCUGGGGUUUAUUGGCCUUCCUUCUUUCCUGGCGCGUUCCCACUCCGGCUCGCGUCCUAACGGGUUCUCGUCCGUUACCCGAGCGUCGGCCAUAUCUUCGAGCCGGCUGUGAACGUUGGCUUUGCUAUUUGAUUGAUCAUGUUGAUCAGCCCUGCCCCCCUGCCUAUUAUGGCUUCUUUCCUCUGACCGAUCAUAUCGGUCACUUCUGCCCCCCAGCCGAUCGCGCAUGGGAGGGCGCUGGUCAUCUGGGUUGCGCCAAUUCCUGCUGAUCGGCUCUGGCCUUCCGUCUCUGGAGCGAGACCUGGUGAACGGCCGAUUGCCUCGAUAGGGGCCGUUGCACUCUGGGCAAGUAUCGGCCGAUGGUAGUCUGAGGUUAUUUUCCCAACAAUGAAUGAAGAAUGGGCAUCUCCAGUGCUCUUCGUGCCGACGCAUCGCUUCCUCUCGGGACCUCGAACGUUCAUGUUGGCGUUGGUACUUUUGGAGCAGGAACUGGGAAGUAAUGCGUGGCCCCUCUGACUCAUCAUCAUCGUCCUCCAUUCAUCGUUUUCCUUUGAUAUCUUCAGACGUAACUUGAUUUCUGGGAUCGACAGCGCCACUCUUUUUGGCCGACUCGGACGUUAGCACUUUUGUUUGGAGAGAAUUCUUUUCCGUAUCAACCAUGUUGGUAGGAAAGGGGUGCUGGUCGAUCUUCAUUGGUUUGGCCGAUUUUGCUGGCACUUCAAAUUUGAGUCUGCCUUGCUCAAUAGCCGACUGUAUUUGUUGCCUGAAGAUUUUGCACUCGUUGGUAUCAUGUGAUGUGGCAUUGUGCCACUUGCAAUACUUCAUCUUUUUCAAUUGUUCGGCAGAGGGUAUUGUAUGGUAAGGCGAGAGUUUAAUCUGCCCUUCCUGGAGUAGAAGAUCGAAGAUUUUAUCAGCUUUAGUUGUAUCGAAACCGAAUACUUCCGGCUCCUUUUUGCCGAAUGGGCAUGAUAUCGGCUUCUUUCCCUUAAUCCACUCUGCAAGUCCGAUUUCGGCAUCUUCCUCCGAAUACUUCCAGGAAUGCCACUUUCUUCUGGAAAUUCCUUCUCGGGUCGAAUGGACGCACUUCCUGCCCGGACAAUCGGUGGACAAUCUGGCUCAGGCUCUCGAACUCUUGUGAAGCAUAUUUCUCUUUAAUGUGUGGCAGCAGGCCUUGGAAAGCUAUAUCGGCCAACUGCGCAUCGGUUAGAGCCAGGGAGUAGCAUUUGUUUCUGAUUUCCUGAAACCUCUGUAUAUAUGAGGGUAUCGGCUCAUCACUUCUUUGCCGGAGGCUAGUCAAAUCAGACAGCUUCAUUUCAUGGACCCCAGCAUAGAAGUACUUGUGGAACUGUCUUUCUAGAUCGGCCCAUGUGAUAAUUGAGUUUGGUGGCAAAGUUGUGAACCAUUGGAAGGCCGAUCCAGACAAGGAUGACGAGAACAACCGUACCCGCAGGGCAUCUUGCGUAGCUGCCUCUCCGCAUUGGAUGAUGAAUCUAUUCACAUGUUCUACGGUAGAGGUGUCAUCCAUCCCCGAAAAUUUGGUAAAAUCAGGAACUUUGUACCGAUGGGGGAACGGCAACAAGUCAUAUGUAGAUGGGUAUGGUGUUCUAUAGGUAUAAGUUUGCAUUUUCGGCUUCAAGCCGAAUUGUUCUUGCAUUACCUCCGCAAUUUGCGCCGACCAAUCUGGUUGUUGCUGGGGAACAGUUGGCUGUGGUAUCGGCACGUGCUGAUAAAUCGGAGGCUGAAUAAAAGGAGAUUGAUGAAAAGGUGGUAUCUGAGUGUAAGCUGGCGGUGUAGUAAAAGUUGGUUGUUUGUAUGAACCACUUGUUUCAUCAUAUAGCAUGAGCUCUGACGUCUUGUUGACCUCCGGAGCGACAGGCUGGUAUGGUGGUAUGAUCGGCCGGGUGGCCGUUUGGGAGUGUGUCUGGAACGGAGGAUUUCCUUGACUGACCGAUUGGUUCAGACCGGCCACGUUUAAAGGUGCCCCCCAGGGUGAAGGGCUGACUGGAGGGAAUGGCGCAGAGGACAGUUGGGUAGAACCAUAUCCCAAAGGAGUUGAUGACGCAGAAGCACCGGAUCCUCCAACAGAAGAUUGGAUCGGUUGUGAAGCCGGAUAAGCCUGAUUUGGUGGAAUCGGCUGAAAAUACGUUGGUCCCCUGUACCCUUGAGGUAUACCUCCGGCGAAGGAGUUGACAACGGCAUUGUGCACCAUGUUUGAAAGCACCGGGGAUUGAUUGAUGAAGGCAUGAUGAAGAGAUUGUUGAAUCAUAUCGGACAUUUUAUCCGAAUCCUCGGAAAUUGUGAUUUGUCGGGGAGUAGGGAAAGGAGUCUUUUUAACAGUCUCCCCGCUCCUGGAACGACUGAAGGAUUUUAAGCAAGUUUUCCGAACUUGUUCCAAAUACUUAUUCAGAUCUUCCUUUUGGUCGUCCUUUAGAUCUGCUUCCGUCACUUCGAUGACGUUAUCUUCGGAGACUUCAGCAGCUUUCGACAUGUUAGCAGCUGUAUUGGUCCCACUGGGCGUGCCAAAAGUGUGUUGGCGCUAGAAAUCGGUCAACCGAAUCCCAGCGACCGACACACGACCCGGGAGAAUCUGCUUAGCUCCUGUUCGGGUGAAUGCCCUGAUGCGGUUCGCGCGGCGUGCCAGCCAAUCUGACCUAUUGAUUGGCAAGGAAGAACACGUGUCAGGUUCAGAAACUACGAUCGGCUAAGUUUCCGAUCGAGAGAGUUUAUCAGCGAAUCGACCGAUUUACUGUGAUAAUGAAAUCGGCUAUAAGACAGCACGAUCCCUGUAGCCUUGUAGACGGAAAAAUACUAAAGUAAUCGGUACAAAGCUUGUGAUAACAGCACUAGGAAAAGAUCUAAUCGGCAACGGAUGGAUCUAACGAUAGAAAAUAAUGAAAGCCGAUACUACCGAUUCCUAGCGGGAUAAUUGGUGAUAAAAACUAGGAAAACAGGUAAAAACCUAUGAAUCUAGUUGAUAUCGAUAACUGAUGAAUAAAUCUAAACGAAAUAACAGCGAUGCGCCGGAAGUUAAAGCUUAGAUAUUACUCGAUAAACGGAACUUACAGAAUCGGCCGGAGAUCAAGAUGAUGCAGCCCUGCCAAUCCGCACGAACUCGUGAGAAGAAAAAAGUAACGGCGAAGUCGCCUGCUCGAAAGUAAGUACGAAGAAGAAAGUAACUUGUUGUAUUGAUUGGUUGAUGAUUACAGAUUUACAAAGGUAGCUAUUUAUAGCCCCGUACAGAUAACUUCUUAACCGACUAGAAUUCUAUCUCUAAUUCAAACAGAAAACAAACAUCUACAAGCACAAUUCAUGCUAGGUUAGUUAUCCCACGCUUCGUGGGCUGACCCCCACCUUAUCCUUCCAUCCCUUUCCAAACCCAUACAGGCCCAAUUAGCCCAUCCUCUUAAUCGGCCGAUUUCCCAUCGGCAAAAGAUUACCGAUUGGGAUUCUGGUGCAUUCAUCCUGAAGUGAGACAAAAGUCGUCAGCCGAUCCCGCACUACAGCACCAUUUGACCGAUUCCCAACUGUAGUUCUCCGAUUUCUUUCUGCUUGGCGCCGAUUCUACUGGUGACGAAAUCCGGCGUCAACACAUACAUAGACUUUGGCAAGAUGUGACCCUCCGGGAGCAGGCUCCCAAAAACUGUCAACAUAAUAUCGAAGGCGUCUCGACUCAAGCUAAACUGGGACUUCACGGCCAUUAGACGUGCAAUGGCAUCCAGUUGAGAGACCUUGGUAUGCCCGUGAAGGGGUUGUUGUGCCAUAGACAACAUGUCGUAAUACGCCUUUGCGGUAGCCUCGGGCUCCUCCUCCCUAUGAGCUUCAUGAUAGUCAUCUAACAUGUCUCCCACCCCGGCGUCAUCAUCAUAUUGCUCGAUACGUUGUCUGAUGACCUCGUCCCUCCCACGAUCGACCUCACCAUGGUAGAUCCAUAUGGUAUAGUCUAACGUAAAUCCGUGCCUAACAAGAUGUUUACCCAUUCCUAACUUGGUUUGCCGACGCAUGUUUCCACAUUUGCUACACGGACACCAAGUUUCUCUUCCUCCUUUGAUCCUUGCAAAUGCCCGUUCCAAGAAAGCAUCGGUCUUGUUUAUCCAUUCAUCGGUCAACGAAUUCUGACUAGAUCGGCCCGUGUACAUCCACUGACGAUCCUCCAUCCUCUAGCAUACCAACGAGUAAUAUAAACACUCAAGUUGCAUCUACACGUUCCUAUAUUGUCUAUUAGGUAAAGAUAGGUCCUAAUCCCACACGAGGAUGUGUAGGUGGGAUUACUUUCCAUGGUCUACUCCGACCCGAGAUAGAAUUUCGGCAGCACCUCCCCGCUGUUCUCCAAAUACACGUCCUGUGAUGGAGAUUGUGUAUCCGGAGAACAAUUGGGAGGUGCUGCCGAAACUCUAACUCGGAUCGGAGUAGACUAUGGAAACUAAACCCACCUACACAUCCUCGUGCUGUCCAAAGUAACGUGGACAAUUCGAAACAGAUACGGUUAUAAAUAUGCAAACAUCUGCAUAUUUCCAAACGUAUCUCUUUCGAACGUGAGACGCCUAACUAGGUUACGUGAUAUACGACCAUCAUACGGAAAUAGAUGUUUAGGAUGACUCACCUUGCUAUCGUACAAAGUGACGACUCGAGGACGGUAACGUAGCCUCUCCUGCAAAAAAAACAUACAACUGUCAACUAAAAAUUUCGGCAGCACCUCCCCUACACGUGGAGGUUUCCAUAACCUGCAUCAAAUGAAACGGCACGAUGGCCGACAACCACAUGUACGGAGCAAGGAAUGGCACGAUGGCUCACUUCCACAAACAUUCUUAUAGCUUAAAUUCCAAAGCCAACCAUCAUUUUCUAAUUUCAACAACUAAAGUCCCACAAUUUCCUAAUUUCAACAACGAAAGCCCUACAAUUCCCUAAUUUCAACAACUAAAGCUCUCUACAAUUUCCUAAUUUCAACAACUAAAGCCCUACAAUUUCAAAUUUCUAAUAUCUUAUUUCUAAUUUUAACCUACUAUCUAAGUCAGAUUUCCUAAAUUCAAAAAAAAAAAAACUACCUACCGGGUGAGGGACGCCGUGACGCAGGGACAGGGGGCGCCGGGGCCGGGCAAGGGGCGCGGGGGGCGGCCGCCGGGCACAGGGAGCCGGGGGCCCGGCGUGGGCGACCGGCGGGGCAAGAUGGCGGGGAGCCGGCGCCGGGCGCGCCGGUGGCAGGGAGCCGGGGCCGGGGCGUCGGCGGACCGUCGGGCGGCGCCGGUGGCGGGGAGGCGGGGCCGGGGCGUCGGCGGUCGGGCGGCACGGAGCGCAGGCGCCGGGGGAGACGGGCGGCUGGGGCGGCCGGUCGGGUUCGCCCCGGGUAGGGGCGCCGGCAGGGCGGUGGCGGUGGGCGCCGGCGGGGCGGGGGCGGUGGCGGCCGGCGGGGCGGUGGCGGUGGGCGCCGGCGAGGCGGUGGCGGCCGGCGAGGCGGGAGUCGCGUCGGGCGCGGGGGCCGGCGGACGGGGCAACAGAGGCGCGGAAAUGAAUCGACGAGACGCUAAGUCGGGAGAUAACUUCGAAUCUUUGCCGAGUGCCCGCGAUCUGGCACUCGGCAAAGGCUUUGUCGAGUGCCAGAUCGGGGGCACUCGGCAAAGCACUAGUGUUUGCCGAGUGCUCAGAUCCAGGGCACUCGGCAAAGUUAAUUCGGGUUUUUUUUUUGCAAGCGAGGCCGAAGAAAGUGGGCCCGUGCAACUAGUUUGCCGAGUGCACAUAGAAAACACUCGGCAAAAUACCAUUUUUGCCGAGUGUUUUAUGGGUACACUCGGCAAACGUUACAUGAAAUAACGUAUUUUAGUGGCCUUUUUCAAAUAUACUUGUUCAAAAUUGUGUCAAAAUCACUAAAAAAUUGUUAAAUUAGUUUUCUACCGAAAUUAUUCCAUUAUUUCAUGCAGUUAUAGCUCAAAUUCCAUUUAUAUCUAAUAAAAAUCUAUAAUUGCAUUUAAUCAAUAAAAAAUAUCAAAUGCAUCCGAAAAAUUUCCAAAAUUUGACAUGAACCAACAUGUGUUGUAUGUUGCCUGUACAAAAAGAUUUGAAGGCACUCCUUAAUUCAAGUGUCACUUGAACACCAAAUCUUAUUGGCUCCUUUCUAACUUCUAUGAAUCCUUCCAGGAGAUUAGUCGGUUUCUAAGCAUCAUAGGUCAGAAAUUGGGCGAAACGUUCUCAAUUUUUUACCACAGCCUACACACAUAAUAUAAUGACAUCUUGACAAAUCUUGUGAUUUUCAGAUUUCGUUUGGUUUUUUUACAAUUUAACAACCAUUGAACCACAGGUUCGUGGUCGUGUUUUUUAAAAACAAUGUUCAAAAUUUCUUUUCAUUUUCUGGUUGAGACCUCAAUUUGGUCUCCAUAAUAUGAAUAUGAUUUUUUCACUGAUUUCAAUCCAUUAUUUCAAGUACUUGUAGUUAAAAUUUGACUUCAAUCAAAAAAUUCCUAUUAAUGCAAACAAAGCAUUAAAAAUCCCAAACAGACCCGAAAAUAGACCAAAUUUUAAUAUGUAUAACCAAAUGUCCUACGUGGGGAGUAGGAAAAGUGUGGAAGCUGUUGGAAGGAAUUUUUUUUUUGUUUGCCGAGUGCCCCUAGGAUGGCACUUGGCAAAGUGUUGCGUUUGCCGAGUGUCCGGCUGAGGCACUCGGCGAACUUUUGAGUGUGCCGAGUGUAUGCGUCUGGCACUCGGCGAACCAGACUUUGCCGAGUGUCACACGGCAAACACUCGGCAAAGGUGUAACGGCCGUCCCACCCUGUUAGUGCACGACGCACGUGCGCCGCAUGCGAUACUGAUUUACCGAGUGUGUCUUCUUUGCCGAGUGUCGAGGAGUUGUUUGCCGAGUGCCUGAUUUUUGGCACUCGGCAAACCUCCUUUUUGCCGAGUGUUUUAUGUUCGCCGAGUGCCUCAUUGUGUACACUCGGCAAAGAUGGUGUUUGCCGAGUGCCCGAAAGAAUGCACUCGGCACACGUUUUACACUCGGCGAAUUUACUGUUUCCGGUAGUGAUUGAUGACAACACCUUGAGGAGACGCGUUUCUGCGUGUUUCUGGGUGAAUAGAGAGAAUCUUUUAACACAUUUGAUUUCUGACAUUUACCAUGAAACUAGCCAUUGUAAGCUUAAGUUGCUGUCUAUUGUCUACAUCACCAAGUGUAUAGAAUUUCUGUCCAUGUUAUUUAUGACCAUUUUACUUGCAUGGCUUUAUAGGACAGAAUGUUGGCCAAAGUCUUGAUUACAGAGAAGCGUAUGAUAUAGCAGCUGCAAGAGCCGUUGCAGAACUGAAAGUUCUAGGUAUGUGAUAUUUGAAUUCCUGUUACGAGACCUGUUAUGGAAAAUUUAUCUGGAUUUCUCUUUUGCAGCGGAAUACUGCCUUCCAUUGGUUCGUGUUGGUGGUUUGUUCAUAGCUGCAAAAGGUCAUGAUCCCCACGUAAGUCUUGGAUUUCUUAUUUAACUAGCCUUCUGAUACCAUUGUAUUUUCCAUCAAACCUAAGAACAUAGUUUCUAUGAAUAUGUAUUGCUGACUUGCUCUAGUUGCAUGCUUUUCUUAUAAUCUAAUUUCACAUUUCCUUGACAGGAAGAAAUAAAAGAUGCUAAAAGUGCUGUACAGAAAUUGGGUGCUUCCAUGCUCGAAUUGUGUAAUGGUAAAAUAUUCCUAUCCUUCCUUAAUGCUUAAUUGCUUAUAGAAGGCAUUGCACUAAAUAUGUUGUAAUCUGCAUAUAAGCAAUUUUACCCUCUCUUAACCUAAAUGUAGAAGUGCGAGUUUGUUCCCUUUCUGACUAAAUGGCAUCUUUCCCUUGUAAAGUUUCUCUGGAUUAGAUAAUACUGAUGAGUAGUCAUAUUUCUAUUUUGCAUAUUUUAAUGCCUGUUGCCAUUUCAGCAAACAAUUGCUAACCUGAUUCCUUUCUAAUUCUCAUGAAUAUAGUUAUGUUGCUUCUAUGUCUUGUGCAUCCAGCCUUUCAGGUUAUGAUAAGCAUAGAAUUCUUGGUAACAUGCUAAGCCAUAGUUUCUUUUCAGCUGAAUCAAUGGGACCUCAUGGUCAUCGGACGGCUGUUAUAUACUUUAAAGAACGAGCUACUCCAAAAAAAUACCCGCGCCUUCCAGGUAUUUCCCAUGUGCCAUCAUGAAAAAGCAUCUAGUGUUGGAAAUUUUAUAAUAACUGAAGCUGAAAUGUUCCACUGGCUACACCCAGGUACUCCUUCCAAGAUGCCCUUGUGAGAAGCGUGUUAUUGUUGGUGUAGACCUUUUGCAACUGCUAAAAUCUGAAAAUCACAACUGAUCUAUAUCAGAGGUCAUCAACUGGAAGAUGUCUUUGUUAGAAGCACAGAGUAAUCGUGCUACCUUACAAUCAUAUCCUCACUCUGCUGUUUUGGGCAACUAAUUAGCUUGUCCUACACUCCUACUCGUCAUAUAUUUAAAACGGAUGGGAGUAGUUUCUAACAGGAUUCAGUAACUCUGCUCAAUCGAAUGAGACUGAAAAGUUUAUUGGUGUUCAUGCAACUGUCAGAACUGGACAUUUUCACGAAGUGCAAUAGGUUGAUGUACCAAUUGUAUGAAUCCUCAGUUCCUUUCAUGACUUGUAUCUUGUGGACGGUUUGGAAUUGGAUAGUUCUUGAAUAAGAAACUAGCAAAUGAGACCUUUAGGAUACGUGCUGUCGUAUACUAAUGUUAGUUCUUGGACCUAGACAAUGGCGCCGUAGUCAUCAACUGCUACGGCCCCAAGCUGUUCUAUUCCAUGCUAUCAUGGAUUCAUGGAUGUGUUUCCCUUUAACAUAUUUCAAUGACUAGGGCCAACUUGAAAGAAUUUAUCUUAAUUUGUCACCUACAAAUAACAUUAUCAAACGCUAAUUGCGGCAACGCAUGCGCGUCAGCACAUGGGUACCAUCAUUGCUCUCUCUUAAACAUCCUUCUCUGCCUGCCUGUAGCCCUGUGCCAAGUAGCAACCUGCCAAAGCCGGCUGCUAUACUAUUCUAACCAAAGAGGAGCAAGGAGCAAGAACUAAGAAGCUUCACAUCUACUCCUACCUUCUCAGGAACAAGUCACCACACGGGCCCUGUCACCAACACAACACACAACAAACACGAGACUUAUUCCCCAGCUUGACCAAACCAAACUCGCAAACAAGCAAGGACGGGUUCUGUCGUCCAAGCCGUCCCUUGCCGGCUGACCAAGUAGUCGUCGUUGGACCUGUCAGCCCUUCAAAUUAAAACGCCUACGAGUUGUGCCGCCUCAUCCAUUCUCACCUGUACCUUCAAUUCCUUUCUCCCCGGACGAUGACCAUGGCCAGCACCACCUCUCCUCUCCUCGUCCUGCUCUCCGCCAUGGCGGUGGCGGCGCUCGUCGCAGCACCAGUCUCGUCGGCGGACCUGCCAUCCACCUUCGCGGACAUCGCGUCCAAGAUCCCCAACCCGUGGUCGGCCUUCAGGAACCUCACCGGCUGCCACUUCGGCGAGGAGCAGCAGGGCGUCGCCAAGCUCAAGGACUACCUCGCCCACUUCGGCUACCUCCCGGAGUCUUCCGGGUUCAC
rnacentral:lncRNA from 1 species